rnacentral:tRNA from 1 species
GUUUAGUGGUCAGAACAUUGGUGCGUAAAGCCAAAGGUCCCGGGUUCGAUUCCCGG